UUCCCUGGGCGCUCUUUGGCACUGGCUGUCCCGCCAGAAGGCGCCAGCAGGGAGCUCAAUGCCGGCAACCAUCGCCUGCCCCUUGGAGCUGUUGCCUGGGCAGGGGUGGCCUUGGUUGUUUACCGCCGGGGUUGACCAGCUAACGAGCUCCCAGGCAGCUGUGAUGGUGGGGAGGCAGCUGCACAGUGAUGGCAGUGGCUGCCAGGCAGUCCCCCACAACCCUGAGAAAGGAAAAUUCUGCUCUCUGAAUCUGUAGAAAGAGGAGGAUGAGAGCGAGGGGCAGGAGGAAGAUGUGGAGAAGGAGAAAGAUGAAAGAAGAAGCCUUCAUAAAUACUGUAUGUGGCCCAUAAACCCUGAAGUAUUUAACAUCUGGUCCUUUACAGAAAACCUUUGCCAACCCCUGGUCCAAAGAAAUGGAAACACCUUGAUAGGAACAAUUUCAUAUGUUUUCUGUUUCUUUCUAGUGUUUUAAAUUCAUGUCACAAGGGAGCACCUAAUAAGGACCUGACUCACAGUGGACAUUAAAACAGUGAUUAUGUGAACUAAUUGGUGGAUAAAUCGUUGGCUCUCUGCUUCAAGCACAGCAAAACAAGUCAGCUUCUUGGAUAUCUUUUAUGGGAGAUAAUAUGGCUAUCCAAAUGUUCACCAAUCCCUCACUUAUGCCUUGUGCCCACUCAUGGGAGACAUAUAAUCUCAUGCCCCAGUGAUGUUGGGCUUUGACAUGUGACUUGCUUUGGCCAAGAGAAUGUAAUCAGAGAUAACAUAUGCCACAUUUUAUUAGAAGCUGUGAGAGAUAUUUUACAUUUCUAUCAGUCACCUUUAAUUUCUGCCCUCUGGAAUUUUAAAAGUAUGUUGUAGUUGUGGCUAAUAUUUCCACUUGGAUACUGCAAUAAGAAAACACAAAGAGACAGGCCAAGCACAAUAAGACCAACCAACCAAAUCCAGAAAUGCUCAGCCAAACUGAAGCUGACCCUCGGCAUUCAUGUGAUGGGUGAGAACUACAAGGUGUAAGCCUUUGAGAUUUUGUGGUUCUCUGGCUGAAAGAAAAGUUGAUUGAUAUCCUUCUAUAAAACAAAAGAUUCAGAAGGAUCUAAUGGAUUAGGUUUUAGUAUAUUAUUGCAAAUCAUAAUGAAUUCUUAGAUACAUAUUUUUUAACCAUAAUAGGAAGAAUAGCUAUUUAUACAACUCAUAUUUACAAGAUGAUUUCAUAUUUUUAGUUCAUUUUCUGCUGUGUAGAAAUGUAAUGGUUAUAAUAUGGUGCCCUUUCAUGCUCAUCAAGCACUCUUUUAUCUCACUAAUGAAGGGCAAAAGUGAUGGACAUAUGUUGUUACUAGAAUAAAAGGCCACCUUACACUCAAGAAAAUUAAUGUAUUACUGUGAUAACUUUGUUCUCUAUUAAAAAUGAAUCAUUCUUGAAUCAGAAUUUCUUUACUUUGGAAGUUAGUAUUUCACCCUUAUAUCAAUUUAACUUUGUAGAAAUAUGACUAGAAAUUAAAUGGCAUAAAAACUGAGAAACAAAUUUAUACAGAAAAGAUUUACAAUUUAUAAUGAGUUGUGCCAAGUAGGAAAUAUUUUAACCUCAUAAGGAUAAGUGUGAAAUCAAGAAAUUUGUAGUCAAAGGUGGUUCAUCCUAUAAAAAUAAAAAUAUAUAGGAGAAUACUGAUGAGAAAAGAAAAUUAAAAUAUCCAGAAAUUUUCAUGUAGCUUAUUUGAAGUCACAAAAUGUGACAAAAAUACCAUAAAAUAAAAUGUGUAAUUCAGGGCUCCAGAAAUGGCCAUGGUGCUGAUAGUUGACAGCUGUUGUUUUUGCCUUCCCAGCACUCUCCCACUUUUUAAUGUUAAGAGAAUUCUAAUUCUGUUUUGGGAAACAUCCUCUCCUCUUUCACUUCAGUAGCCCUAGUGCUAUAGUGUCAUUCCUCUUUUAAAUGUGGGCAAUGUGAGCCCAAUAAAUCAUAGUCUCAUAUGACCCUCACCACAGGCAUUUCUUUAGGACUGGCAUCUGAGCCAAGAGAGGAUACUCAGAGCAGACAGGAAUCUGAGGAGUGAAAGAAACUUUCUUCAGCUAUUAAAGUUGAGAGAAGAUAGCAGUAAGAUGGGAGCAGCCGGUGUACAUCUAGUCAGCAGAAAUGGCAAGCCAGCCUGAGAACUCCACUAACACAAAGGAAAGCAAAGCUCAGAGAAGGCAAGGGACAGACCAAGUUCUGAUGAUGCCAUAUAAUCCCACACCCUCCCAAACAGGAUACACCUGAUUUUUUAACCUUGUUUUCCUUUCUCUUGCAAUUUCAAUCCCUGAUAGAUACAGUGCUCCUGGGGGUGGUUGAGGCAUUUGAAGAUGAAUAUUUUACAAUUAGACUUUCCCUUCACGUCUGUAUUUCAGUAAACCCAUAAAUAACAUAUUUCAGAAGUGGUUGGAUUCUUGUGAUGUUUCUCAAUUUAAGUUUCAUUUUUGCAACCAUGUCCUCUAGAGGAAUUCCAGCAAAUGGCUGGCAGUGAAGUUUGGCAUGCAAACAUAUGAGGACUGUAUCUGAAAAUCUCCUUUGAAUAUUGAUUCAUCAGAUGAUUAAUCUCUAAUUUUUUAAUUAAAAAAAGCAGGCUAUAUUAUUAGUACAAAAAGAGUUUUUUUCAUUUUGUAAAUUUUUAUUUUGGGAAAAAAGUCAAACCUACAGAAAAGUUGGAGGAAUUUUACUACAGGCACAAUGCAACUUGUACCUAGAGAAAUUUAGACAUUAAAUUUUUCCCAAAAUUAUUUUCUUUCUCUAAAUACAUAUGCUUUUUUUUCUUUUGCUGAACAAUUUGAAAAUAAUUUGUAGGCAUUUCAUAACUUACCUGACAAAUAUGUUAGCAGGACUCUCCUAAGAAUAAAAACAUUCUUCUCUAUAACUUCUAUACCAAUGUUGCAUCUAAGAAAAUUAACUCUAAUUUUAAAAUAUCACCUAAUAUACUGUCCAUCUUCAAAAUUCCCUAAUUGUUCUAAAAUUGUCUUUUAGGAUCUUUUUGUAAAACUCCAGGAUCCAAUUGUGGUGUGUAAAUUGAAUUUGGUUAUGUCUCUUUAGUUUCUUUUAAUGUUGAACUGUCCCUUAUAUUUUUUCUCGUUAUAUUGAAUUGUUGACCAUUCUAGGCCUCUGGUCUUUUACAAUGUGUUCCUUUCUUGUUUUUUCUUAUGUAAAUUCAGUUUAAUAAUUUUGGCAAGAAUAGUACACAGUUGCUAUGUAUAUUUCUUGUUGUUUCACAUUAAGAACAUUAUAUCAAGUUGUCCUACCAUUGAUGAUUCAAAGUUUGGCUGCUAAAUCUCCGAAUUAUAAAGAAAAAUUCUUUUCUAUUAGUAAUUAAUAUUAUACUUGUGUGAUAUCUUGAAUAGGUAGGAAAGUCCAGUUUUCCAACAAUCCCCCACACAAUGGUUUUAGCAUUUGUUGAUAACGCUCAGAGAAGGCAAGGGACUGAACAAGUUCUGAUGAUGUGUUUUCGUUUUCGUUUGAAUAAAGUUCAUUUUUAGAAUUCAAUCAUUUUUUCCAUAUUUGUUAGAUGUCCUUUAUCUAUAAAGAUAAAGAAGACGUUACUUCCAUUCCUGCAUCUUCAUCAUACUCACACACAUAAUUAACCUUUUUCAUUAUUUUCUGUUUAUCUUUUCUGUGUGUGUGAUGUAUUACAUAUUAUACAUUUUAAAUAAUAUAUAAUAGAGAACAUUUAUUUGUACACAUACACACACACACAAAUUUCUUUUAUGCUCAUUCACAAAGAUACCACAGUAUGUACACUUUUUUGAGGCUUUUUUUUCACUUAACCAUGUAUCUUGGAAAUACUCCAUAUAAGUUAAUAGCUAGUUAUCUUUUUAUUGUUCUGUAAAUUAUUUAAUCUGUCUUCUAUAGAUGGGCAUUUCGUUUUUAUCCAAUAUUUUCUAUUUUAAUUAAUGCUGCAGUGAAUAAACUUUUGCAUAUAUUGUUUUGUUAUUUGCAGGAAGGUAUAUACAAGCAAAGUCUUAGAAAGAGGAUUUCUGGAUCAAAGUGUAAAUGCAUCGGCAGCUUUGUUAGAUAUUGCCACAUUGUGUUCAACAAGGGUUUUACCAUCAACAGUUAUGAGUGUCUGUUUUCCCAAAGCCUAGCCAAUAGUAUGUGUUUUCAAGGCACUGAUUUUCUGCUAAUCUGGUAGGUAAGAAAUAGCAUAAUGGUGUAGUUUUAAUUUGCAUUCCUAUUAUUGUCAGUGAGUUAGAGUGCCUUUUCAUAUGUUCAAGGACCAUUUUUAUAUACUUUCUCUAAACUCUUCAUUUUUCAUUUUCCCAUGUUAUUUUCACUUUAUUUUCAAUAACUCUUUUUAAAUGAAAGAUAUUAGCAUUUUAUUUUCUGUGAUGUAAGUUGCAAAUAUUUUUGUCCAGCCUGUCUUUCAAUUUUUCUGUUUUAGCAUGCAUUUUAAAAUUUUUAAUGAAGUUGAAUUUAUAAUUUUUAUAUAGCUACUUGAUAGUGAAUCAUAAUUAGAAAUGUCUCCACACACAUUAUAAAGAAAGCCAAGCAUGUUCCCGUUUAGACUGUUGAUCCAAGUAGAGUGUUUUCACGUUCUACUAGAUCAAUAAUGGAUCCAAUUUUUUUCUUUUCUAAAUGUCUAUCCAGUUUUCCAAACACUAUGUUUUAAAAAGACUAUAUUUUUUCCAGUAGCCUAAGAUACCAUAUAUAAUAUUUACUAAAUCUUCAUUUGUACUUAGGUCUAUUCUGAGCUUUCCAUACAAUUUUGUUAAUCUAUUAAUAUAUUCUUGAAUCUGUAUCAUGCCAUUUUGAUUAUAGAGACUCUAUAGUAUACUUUUUAAAAAUAGACUUUAUUUUUUAGGCCAGAUUAAGGUUCACAGCAGAAGUUACAGAGCUUUCCCAAAUACUCCCUACACCGACAGAUGCACAGCCUCCCUCAUUAUCAACAUCCCCCAUCAGAAUGAUACAAUUGCUAUAAUUGAUGAACCUAAAUUGACUACUCAUUAUUACUCAGAAUCCAUAGUUUACACUGGGGUUCACUCUUGGUUUCGUGCAUUCUGUGGGUUUGGAAAAGUUCAUAAUGCUAUAUAUCCAUUCUUAUAACAUCAUACAAAGUAGUUUCAGUGCUCUAAAAAUCCUCUGUGCUCCAGCGAUUUGCCUCUCCCUUCUCCUAACCCUUGGUCUUUUUAUUAUCUCCACAGUUUUGCCUUUUCUGGAAUGUCAUUUAGUUAGAAUCAUAUGGUAUGUAGCUUUUUUAGAUUGGAUUGUUUCAUUUAGUCAUUUGCAUUUGAAUUUCCUCGAUGUCUUUUCAUGGCUUGAUAGCUCAUUAAAAAAAAUCAAAUAAUA